AGCUUUGCACAGUGGCAGUCUCAUAAUAGGUUUAUUUGAGGCACGAUUACUGCUAAUUAAAAACUUUUCCCAACACCCCAUCAUAAUGACUUGAAGUAUAGUUGGCAGAGGCAAUUUUUGACAGUCUCUCUGGAGA
ensembl:snRNA U4 U4 spliceosomal RNA